GACAGUGGCUCAGGAGGUACAGCAGUUGACUGGGGGUCAGAAGGUCCCUAGUUCGAAUCUGGCUCCUCCUGGCA